GCACUAACGUGAACGUAGGAGGCAAAGGCGGUACUGGGGUGAACACCGGGAAGGGAACCAACGUUGGUGUUGGCAAAGGAGGAGUGUCCGUAAACACAGGGCACAAGGGAAAGCCCGUGUAUGUUGGAGUAAAACCAGGACCAGACCCUUUUAACUACCAGUAUGCAGCCACCGAAACCCAACUCCAUCAAGACCCAAACGUUGCUAUUUUCUUCUUGGAGAAAGACAUGCGUCCUGGAACAACAAUGAACUUGCACUUCACCACAAAUUCAAACACGCAAACUUUUGUGCCGCGCGAAACUGCGGAAUCCAUCCCAUUUUCGUCCAACAAGCUGCCAGAAAUCUUCAACCAAUUUUCAGUGAAAUCGGGUUCCGUGGAAGCGGAUAUAAUCAAGGGUACAA
rnacentral:lncRNA from 1 species